ACUACUGAAUAUUUUUCAUAGUUAACUUUUCCCCUUCCUUGUCUGUCUCUAUUGCUAGGCACUUGUGAUUCUCCUCCACGGUUGAGUUUUGCUGAGCUGCCUGGGGCAGUGAACAAUUCCUAUCCUGUUGGGACCAAACUGAAAUACUCCUGUCGCUCAGGAUAUGUUUUGGGCUCUGGAAAGUCUCCUUUAGUUACAUGUCUUGAAAAUUUAACAUGGUCAGUAGACCCUGAGUUUUGUGUAGGAAGAUCAUGUAAACAACUAGAACUAGAAAAUGGCAGGGUUGAUUUAACCGAUCUCCGGUUUGGUGCAACAGCAACCUUCUCCUGUAAUGGAGGGUACAGAUUAAUUGGAACGACUUCUGUCCAAUGUGUGGCUGUGGGAAAUGGAGUUGAUUGGGAUAAGGAGCUUCCACAUUGCGACGUCAUAAUUACCCA